rnacentral:rRNA from 1 species
ACGAACGCUGGCGGCGUGCCUAAUACAUGCAAGUCGAACGGUCUUUCUAUGGAAGCUUGCUUCCACUGAGAAGAUAGUGGCGAACGGGUGAGUAACACGUGGGUAACCUGCCCAUAAGAGGGGGAUAACAUCCGGAAACGGGUGCUAAUACCGCAUAGUUUUCUUGAUCGCAUGAUUGAGAAAGGAAAGACGGCCUUUGUGCUGCCGCUUAUGGAUGGACCCGCGGCGUAUUAGUUAGUUGGUGAGGUAACGGCUCACCAAGACGAUGAUACGUAGCCGACCUGAGAGGGUGAUCGGCCACAUUGGGACUGAGACACGGCCCAAACUCCUACGGGAGGCAGCAGUAGGGAAUCUUCCGCAAUGGACGAAAGUCUGACGGAGCAACGCCGCGUGAGUGAAGAAGGUUUUUCCGGAUCGUAAAACUCUGUUGUCAGAGAAGAACAAGUUGGAGAGUAACUGCUCCAGCCUUGACGGUAUCUGACCAGAAAGCCACGGCUAACUACGUGCCAGCCGCUGC